AUACAUAGGUAACCUGCCCCUGUGCGGGGGAUAACAGGAGGAAACUCCUGCUAAUACCGCAUAGCCAUGAGCACCGCAUGGAGCUCAUGCCAAAUAUCCUUUCGGGGAUAGCGCAGGGAUGGACCUAUGGCGCAUUAGCUUGUUGGCGGGGCAACGGCCCACCAAGGCAACGAUGCGUAGCCGGCCUGAGAGGGCGGACGGCCACAUUGGGACUGAGACACGGCCCAGACUCCUACGGGAGGCAGCAGUAGGGAAUUUUCGGCAAUGGGGGAAACCCUGACCAAGCAACGCCGCGUGAGCGAAGAAGGCCUUCGGGUCGUAAAGCUCUGUUGUAAAGGAAGAACGGCGCAUACAGGAAAUGGUAUGCGAGUGACGGUACUUUACCAGAAAGCCACGGCUAACUACGUGCCAGCAGCCGCGGUAAUACGUAGGUGGCGAGCGUUAUCCGGAAUCAUUGGGCGUAAAGAGGGAGCAGGCGGCCGCAAGGGUCUGUGGUGAAAGCCCGAAGCUAAACUUCGGUAAGCCAUGGAAACCGGGCGGCUAGAGUGCGGAAGAGGAUCGUGGAAUUCCAUGUGUAGCGGUGAGAUGCGUAGAUAUAUGGAGGAACACCAGUGGCGAAGGCGACGGUCUGGGCCGCAACUGACGCUCAUUCCCGAAAGCGUGGGGAGCAAAUAGGAUUAGAUACCCUAGUAGUCCACGCCGUAAACGAUGGUCACUAAGUGUCGGGGGUCAAACCCCGGUGCUGCAGUCAACGCAAUAAGUGA
rnacentral:rRNA from 1 species